CGACCGGCGCACGGGUGAGUAACGCGUAUCCAACCUGCCCUUUACUUGGGGAUAACCCGUUGAAAGACGGACUAAUACCCAAUGAUAUUCAUUGAUGACAUCUGAUUUGAAUUAAAGAUUUAUCGGUAUAGGAUGGGGAUGCGUCUGAUUAGCUUGUUGGUGAGGUAACGGCUCACCAAGGCCACGAUCAGUAGGGGUUCUGAGAGGAAGGUCCCCCACAUUGGAACUGAGACACGGUCCAAACUCCUACGGGAGGCAGCAGGC
rnacentral:rRNA from 1 species